ensembl:lncRNA
CACACGUAUAGACAACUCGGUAAGGACAAACUGCCACAUGAGAGUAUGUUCAGAUGUAUUAAAAAAAAAAAUAGGGCCCUCCUGAGCCCUUCAGGGCAUGUUUUUCCCUUUCCCUUUGUGUCUCUCCCUGCCUCUGGUUCCUUAUGUGUGCAUUUUGUUCGUUUUCUAUGUUUGUCUGUCAUUACAUCUCCCCGAGUACCAGUCUUCUUGUUCCCGGCACUCCCUGAAGGCACCCCUGCACCAGAGCACCCGUAAUCACCACUGAUCCUGAGAACCUGCACCAGUCUACACACCUGGGGGGCUGAUUGCCACUCUCCCUAUAAAUAGGAGAGUUCGUUUCCAGACCCUUGUUCUGAGACCUGUCCUGCACCUUCCUCCCAACUACCUGGAUCACCUAUCUGUUAUCGACCGUUAUCGACCUUCGCCUGGACUGACUCCCCGCUCUGUUGACCGACCCUGCCUGACCCUCUGACCAUUCUUGCCUCCCGGACUUCGUACCACUGCUACCCACUAUCCACACUCCAACAAUACACUCAUACCAGUCUACGUUUUUCUUACGUAUCUCCACUGUCAUCUCAAACUACUACAAUAAACAUCAUCAUUGUCCUUUUUUACCCCUGUUGUCUAUAUCUGCUUUUGGAUCCUUACCUCUGUCCUGAGUCCCAGGAGUCGUGACAGUACUAAAGGUCCAUUCGUGUCUGCACGACAAUACAGUAUAUUAACAGCAACUCCCAUAUGGAAAAUAAAUGUAUUUUUAAUAUUUUUAAUUACUUAAAAAUCAUACAAUGUGAUUUUCUGGAUUUAUUUUUUGGAUUCUGUCACUCACUGUUGAAGAGUACUAUGAUAAAAAGAGUACCUAUGUAGACCAUCCCUGCACAACAUUUCCACUUAAGCCAAAUUAGCCCAUAUGGAAAAUAAAUAUAUUUUUGCAAUGCAAAAUGUAUGUAAAAUGUAUGAUGAAAACAGUGGGGAGAACAAGUAUUUUAUACACUGCCGAUUUUGCAGGUUUUCCCACUUACAAAGCAUGUAGAAGUCUGUAAUUUUUAUCAUAGUGAGUG